rnacentral:rRNA from 1 species
CCUACGGGAGGCAGCAGUAGGGAAUCUUCCACAAUGGGCGAAAGCCUGAUGGAGCAACGCCGCGUGAGUGAUGAAGGCCUUCGGGUUGUAAAACUCUGUCAUUCGGGACGAACCGGAGUCUGAGGAAAUGCAGACUCUCUGACGGUACCGGAGGAGGAAGCCCCGGCUAACUACGUGCCAGCAGCCGCGGUAAUACGUAGGGGGCAAGCGUUGUCCGGAUUCACUGGGCGUAAAGCGCGCGCAGGCGGUGAUGUAAGUCUGGGGUGAAAACCCGAAGCUCAACUUCGGGACUGCCUUGGAUACUGCGUCACUUGAGGAUAGGAGAGGCAAGGGGAAUUCCACGUGUAGCGGUGAAAUGCGUAGAGAUGUGGAGGAACACCUGUGGCGAAGGCGCCUUGCUGGCCUAUUUCUGACGCUGAGGCGCGAAAGCGUGGGGAGCAAACAGGAUUAGAUACCCUGGUAGUCCACGCUGUAAACGAUGAGUGCUAGGUGUAGGUGGGCUCAUACCCAUCUGUGACCGAAGCUAACGCAUUAGCACUCCGCCGUGGGGAGUACGGUCGCGAAGACUUAGAAACUCGAAAGGAUUGGACCGGCUGAGGACGNGCCGAGGCGACGACGAGGGGAGGUAGG